GAUGAACGCUGGCGGCGUGCCUAAUACAUGCAAGUCGAGCGAACAGACGAGUAGCUUGCUCCUCUGACGUUAGCGGCGGACGGGUGAGUAACACGUGGAUAACCUACCUAUAAUACUGGGAUAACUUCGGGAAACCGGCUCUAAUACCGGAUAAUAUAGUGAACCGCAUGGUUCAAUAGUGAAAUACGGUUUUGCUGUCACUUCUAGGUGGAUCCGCGCGGCAUUAGCUGGUUGGUAAGGUAACGGCUUACCAGGGCGACGAUGGGUAGCCGACCUGGGAGGGUGGUCGGCGACACGGGAGCUGAGACACGGUCCAGACUACUAAGGGACGGCGCAGAAGGGUAUGGUACGCAAUGGGGGAAAGCCUGACGGAGCAACGCCGCGCGUGAUAUGAAGGUGUUCGGAGCGUGAAACUCGGUUAUUAGGGAUGAACAACUGUGUAAGUAACUAUGCCCGUAUUGACGGUACCUAGUCAGAAAGCCACGGCUAACUACGUG
rnacentral:rRNA from 1 species